rnacentral:misc_RNA from 1 species
UUGUUUAUUUUGUAUAUGACUCAGAUGGUACUAAACAGCUUGAGUUUUGGUUGGCCAGCGGCAGGCACCCCCCGGAAGGGGGCGAGGCUCUGUCCCACAGGGCUGCCUGCCGAAGCACGUUGGACGGGUAGGUAAACAGUGGGUUGGGAGUUGUUAGACUCUCGUAAUGAUCCCUCCGCUGGUUCACCAACGGAGA